rnacentral:lncRNA from 1 species
AGAGAAAGAAGCUUCACAUCACCAACAUAUAUGUCAAAGGGACAAAGCUAGCACUGAUCACACAUAACAUGCACUAUAUCUUACAAGUACGAUACUGAACAAAUAUCAGGUUGCAAGAUCUUAUCAAAUCUGAAUAUUACAUGUACUACACGUCUCAAAUUUCAGAAAAUUCAGAGAUUAGAGGGAGAAAGAGAGAUAGCAGCAGCAAGAUUGAGGAGAGAGCAUCAACAAAGGGAGGUUGAGAGAGAGAUUCAGCAGAGGGUGUUGGAGAAGGAGAAGCAGCAGGGGGUGUAGCAAUAGAGAAGCAGCAAGGGGGCGCUGAGAGAAGAAGAGGCGCAAGGAGAGAGGUUGAGAGCAGCAGCAGCGGCAGGUAGAAGAAGUUGAGCGGAGGAGGAGCAGCAGUAGGGACGAGGGGAGGAGCAGCAGCGAAGGGGUUGAGAGAGAGAGAGAGACAGCAGGAGGUUGGAGUUCGGAGCAGCAGCAGCGUGGAGAGUUGAGAGAGCAGCAGCAGAGAAAUAGAAGAAGGAGCAGUAGCUUGGGCGCAAGAAGAGCAGCAGGGCGCAUAGGAAGAAGGAGCAGCAGCAGGUUGCAUGGAAGAAGGAGCAGCAGCAGGGGACGUUGAGAGAGAAGAGGAGCAAGAUCGGGGCAGCAAGGAGGAGAGAGGCGCUUGGUGCUGAUGGCGGCAGUGGCUGGAGAUGGUGGCGCUAGUGGAGUGGUGGAUGGAGGCUGCUGGUGGUGGGUAUGCUGGUGGAUGGAUGGGUGACGGAGGCGCACCACCACGUCGGCCUGGCCAUGGCGGCGGCCGGAGUUGGAUAAGGAGGGGUGAGGGAGAGAGAGAUGUGCCAGGCCCGAUUGGAUCCCUCCAGCGCCUAGGGAUUUUGUUCCCCUCCUCUCAUCUGCACUUUGUGAUUUGGCCCUCUUACUUCUCUUCUUUCUUCACAAGAAGAUCCUCCCACUUCUUCAGCUUGCCCCUGGUAACUUCUUUUCUUCUCUCUCGGGUCCUUGACUCCAUCACUUGAUCUUUUGUAGUAGAAGGAUUUUGUGCCUUGUCACACUUUUCUGCAAAAUAAACAAGUGACUAGUCAACAAUCCUUUUAUAUGAUUUUCAUUCAAUUAUUCCAUAUUUAAAACAAGAAUUGGUGGUCAGAACUCAACAAAUGGUAUAUUUGUAUGCCAAAAUUAUGUAUAAGAAAUGUGCUUAUCAAGUUCCCCCACACCUAAAUCUUUACUUGUCCUCAAGUAAAGGCAUAUGACAAGGGCAAGAUGGUGAAUAGUGACCUGACUAGAGAACGCCAAGUGAAGUAGAUCUCCAAACUAUGCAUGCUUUGGACUUAGUUAGUGAGAAUCAAUGGUUAAAAGUGUUACAAAGCAGUAGGAUACUAGUAGACUCAAUCAUUUUAAAAUUCUACAAUGGUAAAAGAAGAUCAACAAGUUCAAAUGAUGAUUGUGCCAAAUGGUUCCUAAAGAGAGCAUGAUCCCAAGAACAAAGCUUGUGAUCAAAUCACUUAUUUACAGAAAUAAAGCAAUGAUAUUAUUAUUACUAGCAAAAAGGCUCAUGCGUUGCAACGGGAGAAAAAAAUCCUCUCAUAUCUCUAGCUGGGUCAGUUGGACAAACUGUGUGUGGCCGGUUCGCAGGUUACGAGAUCGAACCUGUCAUCGGCAAUUCUAUUUUGUGCCAGCUCUCGGACCUGGGCCUCAGUGCGUCGCCAGGUGGGCAUUCUCCGUUGGGCCAAAACGGGUGGCAAGUAACGAAACCAAAUAGCGUACGUGAAAUUAAUUGAAGCGGGACCAAACGAAGCGGGACGAAACCAAGAAUAUCACCUCCCUUUAAUAGUAAAUUAGUCUCACCAAAGGAACAUACCACCGAUCCCGAGAACAUGGUAUACACCCGGCUCAACUAAUUAUUAGUUUUAGUUUUGUUUGUCUCCCCAAAGGAACAUACCACCGAUCCAGAGAACAUGGUAUACACCUGGUUCGACAAUUACAAUGUUUUUAAUAUAAUUAACUCUUAUCCAAUCCAACCAUAUUUCACAAGCCACCGAUCCAGGGAACAUGACAUGCUACUGUUAGGUAAGAUCAGAUAAUUAUUCAUUAUAAGAUUUUUUUUAAUGAACAACACAUAAGCACAAAAAACAGGAAUCCUCACUUCUCCAUGUCUGGUUCACAUGCUACCGAUCCAGGGAACAUAGCAUGCUAAUCCAUAGUGGUUAGGUGAUUGCUCUAAAUGGGAACACACUUGGCACAAAUUCGGCAUCUAAACAUGGUAAUCUAGGUGUAUCAUAGUAAAUGCAGAAAAUGACAUAGUUUACUAGUGCACUAGGGAUUUGAGCACUCAAAACUAAUAGUUCUCACUAAUUUCAGCAAAGCACGCAUGGUGUAGAUCACUAGUUUACAAGGCAUUCAACAAUCAGUUCGCAUAUUCUCAUCAAGCACCAUAUGUCAAAGGUGAAAUUCAGUGGGACAACAUUUAAGAAAUGGCACAAGCAACCCAAAUAAAAAUUUAAUUCAGCAAGCAUCAAUGGAUGAUGAUUUCAAAAUGGGUCAUGAAACAGCUCACCAGGCUUUGAUGAUGUAGCACUCGCUCGAUCACCUCACCAACUGCAGCUCCUCUCCUUUUGCUUCCUCAUACAUGCUCCAGCUUCACUCUUCCUCAUGUGUGCACAUUGCUUCUCCUCAUCACCAUGCCGUGAAUCCACCAGGAUCCCAUGGGAUGUCAUCUCGAACUUGGUCAGCCCGCAAUGAAUGGUGCACAAGCGUAAACCUGAAAGAACACUCAACAAACAAGCCAAAACAAGUGAUAGGGACAAUGCCCUCCAAGUCAUCAAUAGAGUAUCCUAUCACAUAAGCAUAUCUAUUGAGCAUAUCAUACACAUGUAUCAUCAAUUCACUUGGUGCAUAGGUAAUAUCAACGAUAUGACAUAACUUGUCGAGAAAGCUAAGAUAAUACCUGGGAUGAUCUGAGAGAAGUUUUAGGACUACCUUAGUUGAAGAUACUAUGGAAGGCAUGGUAGUAGAAACUUCCACCAGACUCGUGUCAACAAGUGAAAUAUUAGAGUUUGGCUUCUUGACAUCUAGAUCAACCUCAUCAUAAUCAACAAUGCAGGUUUCCAUCUCAGGCUCAAGUGUUGAGGAAUCAAUGUGGCUAAUGUCAUCAAAGGUGAACUUCUCCAUAUCUGGCUCUAGCAGCACAUGAUCAAUAUCAACUAAAGGUGACUCCUCAAUAUAAAAAACAACUAACUGCAGCUCUGGCUCAUCCAUGGAAGAAUCAUCACAAUGCAAAACUAAAUCUCCAACACUAGUAUCCAUAUGAUCUGAAGUGUGUGUGUCAACUAGGAUGGUGUCAUCAUCAUCAUCAAAGAUAAUCCAUGAAAGCUCAAUCUUGUUACACGGAGAAACUGGUUCCGACUUUUGUGUAAGAGAUUCUUGCUGAGAUGAAGUGAUUUGUUGCAAACAAGCAACUGAAUCAGAGAUGGGCUUCUCAUUGUACCACUGAAGUUGGUGGAAGGCUAUACUCUCAAUCAGCAGAAAAGCAUCAUCAAGUGUCUUGUUUGUAAUAGCUCCACCCGCUGCCAUAUCGAUGUAAGCUCGAGUGUCCGAAGUCAAUCCUCUAUAGAAUAUCUGCAACUCUAACCAUCUCUCGAGCCCGUGGUUAGGACAUCUCCUGAAUAAAACCUUGUAUCUCUCCCAAGCAUCAUACAAGCUCUCGUAUUCACGCUGAAUGAAAUUGAAGAUCUCAUCUCGAAUCACAGACUGCUUGUGUAGUGGGAAAUAUCUAUCCAAGAAAGCUCGUGAUAUCUCAUUCCAACUGUAUGACCUUGAUGGCAAGGAUCGAUACCAAGCAUGAGUAUCAUCACGGAGAGAGAAUGUGAACAACCUGCACAUGAUUGCAUCUUGAGGAACUCCAUGGUACUUGACUGUAUCUGAAUACUCCAUGACUCGGUGUAAGUGCUCAUAGGGAUCCUCAGUAGGCAGUCCUCCAAACUGUUGUUGUUGAACCAAAGCAAUAAGACUAGGUUUCAGCUCGAAGUUCUCUGCCUCAAUAGUUGGCCAAAUCGGUCCUGUGAUAUAGCACUGACUUUUGGGCAUCCAAAGAUCACGAAGCAAUGCCAUCUUAACCGAGUGUAACUAUACCUGCAAUUAGUUCAGAUUUCCUACAAACACUCAUAAACAGUAAACACUGGUCAGAAAGUUAGUAUCCUAAUAAGCCGAAGCAACAAAAAGUAAAAAGGUAAAAGAAGCACAGAAAUCAAUUUGAAUGGAAAUUUAAACAAAAACUAAACUAAGCCUAGUCUAUAGCUUCACACAAUCGUUCGACGCUAGUCCCCGGCAACGGCGCCAAAAUGAUCAAUCGAAAGUAUAGUGGGGUUUUUACGACCAAACUACGGAUGUCGUGUUCUCCACAGGGACUAGGCAAAUCGAUGAUCGUGCUUGGCUAAAGCUAGGUAACACAAUUCAGCUUAUGAAUGCAAACAUAAAACCUAAACUAUCAAUGAUUGUCGCCAAAGAAAAUGCAGAUAAGCAAAGGUAGAUUCAGAUUUUACUUGAUGUAUUUUUUUGGUGUUUUUGUUUUAGUUGAGAAAUAAAAUGCUAACACAAGCAAACAUCAAUGGCUAGGGAAUUAAAAAGACAUGAACAUAUAUAUAACUCGCUAACAUAUAACAGGGGGAAGAAACAUAAUUAUGUGACGAGAGAAAGAAGCUUCACAUCACCAACAUAUAUGUCAAAGGGACAAAGCUAGCACUGAUCACACAUAACAUGCACUAUAUCUUACAAGUACGAUACUGAACAAAUAUCAGGUUGCAAGAUCUUAUCAAAUCUGAAUAUUACAUGUACUACACGUCUCAAAUUUCAGAAAAUUCAGAGAUUAGAGGGAGAAAGAGAGAUAGGAGCAGCAAGAUUGAGGAGAGAGCAUCAACAAAGGGAGGUUGAGAGAGAG